GACGAACGCUGGCGGCGUGCUUAACACAUGCAAGUCGAGCGGAGCGGCGAACGGGUGAGUAACGCGUGAGUAACUGCCCCCCUCUCUGGGCUAACAGUUGGAAACGACUGCUAAUACCGGAUAGAGGGGGAUGACGCGCGUCCUAUCAGCUUGUUGGCGUGGUAGUGGCCUACCACGGCGACGACGGGUAGCCGGCCUGGGAGGGCGACAGGCCACAGUGGGCGGAGAUACGUCCGAAACUGAUACGGGAGGCAGGAGUGGGGACUAUAGCACACGUGGGGAAACUCUGAUGCAGCAACGCCGCGUGGGGGAGGACGGCCUUCGGGUUGUAAACCGCGUUCAGCCAUGACGCGGUAGUUGCCGAAGAAGCACCGGCUAACUACGUGCCAGCAGCCGCGGUAAUUC
rnacentral:rRNA from 1 species